rnacentral:rRNA from 1 species
GGCGACCGGCGCACGGGUGAGUAACGCGUAUGCAACCUGCCCGAUACCGGGGUAUAGCCCAUGGAAACGUGGAUUAACACCCCAUAGUACUUUUAUCCUGCAUGGGAUGUGAGUUAAAUGUUCAAGGUAUCGGAUGGGCAUGCGUCCUAUUAGUUAGUUGGCGGGGUAACAGCCCACCAAGACGAUGAUAGGUAGGGGUUCUGAGAGGAAGGUCCCCCACAUUGGAACUGAGACACGGUCCAA